rnacentral:rRNA from 1 species
UCGACCCCAGGUCAGGCGGGAUUACCCGCUGAGUU